CCUACGGGAGGCUGCAGUGGGGGAUAUUGCACAAUGGGGGAAACCCUGAUGCAGCGACGCCGCGUGGGUGAAGAAGCGCCUCGGCGCGUAAAGCCCUGUCAGCAGGGAAGAAAAUGACGGUAUCUGCAGAAGAAGCCCCGGCUAACUACGUGCCAGCAGCCGCGGUAAUACGUAGGGGGGAAGCGUUAUCCGGGUUUACUGGGUGUAAAGGGGGCGCAGACGGCGAUGCACGCCAGGAGUGAAAGCCCGUGGCCCAACCCCGGGACUGCACUUGGAACUGCGUUGCUAGAGUGCAGGAGGGGCAGGCGGAAUUCCUGGUGUAGCGGUGAAAUGCGUAGAUAUCAGGAGGAACACCAGUGGCGAAGGCGGCCUGCUGGACUGCAACUGACGUUGAGGCCCGAAAGCGUGGGGAGCAAACAGGAUUAGAUACCCGGGUAGUC
rnacentral:rRNA from 1 species